rnacentral:misc_RNA from 1 species
AAGUCGUAACAAGGUCUCCGUAGGUGAACCUGCGGAGGGAUCAUUACUGAGUGAGGGCCUUCUGGUCCGACCUCCAACCCCAUGUUAUCCGACACUGUUGCCUCCGGGGCGACCCGGCCUUCGGGCGUCGGGGCCCCGGGUGGACCAUCCAAACACUGCAUCUUUGCGUCUGAGUACACGAUUGAAUCAAUCAGAA